rnacentral:tRNA from 1 species
GCACAGGUAGCUUAAUGGUAAAGCCCUCCAAUGUCACUGUAGUAGAUGUCGGUUCAAGUCCGAUGCUGUGCG